rnacentral:lncRNA from 1 species
AAUAUAUAAAAAAUAGAGUGAUAUAAAGAAAAUACAUUAAAAUUAGUGUAAAAUUAUAACCUUAAGAGAAACUAGAUAUCUCUUAACCAAAUAUCUGACUAUAUGAUCUGGAUAAAGAUAUUUAGACAAUAUUUUUUGACAAUAUUUGAAUAUCAUCAUAUGUAUCAUUGUGUGAUUGGUUCAUGGUGGUCUCAUUGUGUCAUUUGGACCAAUUACACAAUGACAUGUAUGAUUGAUGUUCAAAUGUUGUCAAAAAUGUUAUCUAUGUAUCAUUACCCAUAUGAUUUUGACUAACAUAAAUGAGUAUAGCUGGAGAAUGCAGGGUUAGAUGGGUCUUGGGCGUAUAUAACAUAAAAGAAAGAAACUACAAAUUCAUGCUGAGUUCUAGCAUAGCAGAGGAUAUGAACAGUGAACUAAAACAUGGAUAUUGUGCUGUACAAGAUUUUCAGCCUUGUAAUUAGUUAUAUUUUUGAACUGAAAUUAUUGAUGACUGCAGUAGUACCG